GACGAAGGUGACGACCGUUGCUCGGAAUCACUGGGCAUAAAGCGCGCGUAGGCGGCUGCGCAAGUCCAAGGUGAAAUCCCUCGGCUCAACCGAGGAAUGGCCCUGGAAACUGCGCGGCUUGAGGACGGGAGGGGUGAGUGGAACUCUCGGUGUAGCGGUGAAAUGCGUAGAUAUCGAGAGGAACGCCGGUGGCGAAAGCGACUCACUGGACCGUGACUGACGCUGAUGCGCGAAAGCGUGGGUAGCAAACAGG
rnacentral:rRNA from 1 species